rnacentral:rRNA from 1 species
AGAACGAACGCUGGCGGCAUGCCUAAUACAUGCAAGUCGAACGAACUCUUCGGAGUUAGUGGCGCACGGGUGCGUAACGCGUGGGAAUCUGCCCUUGGGUUCGGAAUAACAGUUGGAAACGACUGCUAAUACCGGAUGAUAUCGAAAGAUCAAAGAUUUAUCGCCCAGGGAUGAGCCCGCGUAGGAUUAGCUAGUUGGUGAGGUAAAGGCUCACCAAGGCGACGAUCCUUAGCUGGUCUGAGAGGAUGAUCAGCCACACUGGGACUGAGACACGGCCCAGACCU